CUUGACACUGAACAUUGAGCCUUGAUGUGUAGGAUAGGUGGGAGGCUUUGAAGUGUGGACGCCAGUCUGCAUGGAGCCGACCUUGAAAUACCACCCUUUAAUGUUUGAUGUUCUAACGUUGACCCGUGAUCCGGGUUGCGGACAGUGUCUGGUGGGUAGUUUGACUGGGGCGGUCUCCUCCUAAAGAGUAACGGAGGAGCACGAAGG
rnacentral:rRNA from 1 species